ACCCAGUUGACCAGUCCCAAAUUGGACGAAACACGUGUCCUGGAU
rfam:Schistosoma curassoni strain Dakar, Senegal genome assembly, scaffold: SCTD_scaffold0002412